UAAAUCGCUACGUCCAAGGGGCAUAAUUAGGGUCGCCAUGACAAGAGAGAAUAAACUUUUUUUUAAUUUGUAUGAUAAUGGAUUGUCUAGCCGUUAAAAGGAUAAGUAUUUCUUUUCAUUUGCUCGAUUUUCAUAAAACCAAAUGUUCUAUCGUUUCUUUUAAAGUACGACAGUUUCAUUGCCAUUAUAGCUUGAAUUUUAAAGGUUGAAAUAGUAGUCGGACAUUACAUAUUUCGGACGUUGCUAAACAUGUUUGUUUUCGACACAGUUUAAUGAUUUUUGUUCAGAUAAAGUUUUAAAGUUGUUGUACUUGUAAUGAUUCACGGUAGUAUGUCUGGAAUAUCUUCUCUGAUGAUUAGAAGUCUUAAACUUAUCAUACAUGAGCAUUACCAAUGUUCUGUCAAAAUAAGAUAUAGGAAUUUACAAAAUACAUGAACACGAAUAUGUUCAGCUGAGCAACUUCAAUCCCACAAUGAUGUCUGGUUAGCACAGUGGUUGAUUCACAUUUUCACGUAGCCAAGGUGGUCUAUAUUGACCACACCACAAUUGAAUAUAUUUCAAUAAAAAAUAAUAAUCUGGAAUUGGUUGUCAGACAUGCACUUUAUUAUAAAACAACUAUGUCUCUGUGUGAUGUACUGUUAUAUGCUCAAUAAUCACAUACAAUUGAAAUACCCAUCAGUGUAAAAAUUAGUACCAAAUUUGCAAGGAUGUUAAGUUUAAAUAAUGCUUGCUUACUUUUCAUCAUUCCCGUUUGUCUGAUUUACUUAUAUUUGUUUUGUGUGAUUGUAUUAAAUGAUCAUAUUUGAAACAAACUCUUGUGCAUUAUUUUGGUAGGUGCUUGUGAGUCUAAGGUACUUGGCGAAAGGUGAUUUUCUGUCUGAGGUUGCUGACCUUCAUGGAAUUAGCAGGUCCAGUGCAUGCAAUAUUAUUGCAGCCUUUGUUGAUGCUGUUAAUUUAAGAAUUGAUAAUGUAAAGUUUCCAACUGGAAUUGCACUUGCUUCUGUCAAACAAGGAUUUUUUCAAAAAUGUGGCAUUCCAAAUACAAUUGGUGCAAUUGAUGGAGCACUCAUUCCAAUAAUUGCCCCAGCAGCAAAUGAAGCCAUUUAUGUGUGUCGUAAAGGCUUCCAUGCCAUAAAUGUCCAAGCAGUUGUGGACCACAAGGCCAGGUUCAUUGACAUUGUGUCGAAAUGGCCUGGGUCUACGCAUGAUGCCUCUGCCUUUGACAGCUGUGGGUUGAAGACCUUUCUGGAAGAACACCACCAAGGGCACUUGCUGGGCGACUCGGGCUAUCCCUUGAAAAAAUAUCUGUUGACGCCAUUACUUAGACCUACAACAGAUGCAGAGUUACGAUACAACUAUGCCCAGUCAAGUGGGCGGAUGGUGGUGGAGAGGGCUUUUGGAGUUCUCAAGAGUAGAUUUAGAUGUCUACAUAAAACUGGAGGAUGCUUAUACAUGCGGCCAGACAAAUGCUGCCAAGUAGUUGCAGCAUGUAUGCGUCUUCACAACUUGUGUGUCGAUCUGCAAGUGCCACUGCCUGAAGAACCUAUUGAGGAGGCUGAUGAUGUUGAUCACACUGCCCCACAAGUUCAAAAUGACCGUCAUGCAUCAGCAUACAGACAGCAAAUUAUUCACUUAUUUAUGUAGCUGCUGUUCAAAGUUCACAUGCUUAUUUGGUCUUUGUCGGCUCAGGUUCUACUAAAAAGUACCCCUGGUACUCAUGUGUAUACUAAUAUGUAGCCCAGAUAUGGAAAAUACGCUUAAAGGCACCCCACCAUAUUCAGGGGUACUUUUUAGUUUGUUUUCUGUACCUGGGGUAUUUUGUAGUAUACUUAAGAGUACCCAGGGUACUUUAAAGUAGUACCUGAGCCGACAAUCACCAAUCAACCUCACAUGUACAUUAAGUACUCUAUGUAAGCCAUUGUGAUCUAUCCAUGUGGGGCUUCAUGCAUAUAACUAUUUGUUGAUGAAAGUCAGGUCAUAUUUCUGUGAACAAUAUUUAAGCUAUGUUCAAAUUUGGUGAAAAGCUUUGCAAGAAUGUUAUUAUUGAAAAUUUCUAUGUCUGUUUUUGUAGUUUUUUAUAAGACACAAUUUUUAUGUCCCCCACCACUAUAGUGGGGGCAUAUUAGUUUUGCCCUGUCUGUUGGUAUGUGUGUUUGUUUGCGUCAAACUUUAACAUUUGCCAUAACUUUUGCAAUAUUGAAGAUAGCAACUUCAUAUUUUGCAUGCAUGUGUAUCUCAUGGAGCUGCACAUUUUGAGUGGUGAUAGGUCAAGGUCAUCCUUCAAGGUCAAAUGUCAAAUAUAUGGGGACAUAGUGUUUCCAAAUGCUUGUGAUGUUUUCAUGUUUCCUUCAUAUUAUCACAAAGUGGAAAUAAAGUCUAUUCCUUUAAUACUUAGCUAAUAAACAUAACAGUACAUUUUUCUUCGCCUCCAAGGACAAAGGAAGUGGAACACUAUCUGAAAAUAAAAUACAUGUCAUGUUUCAAAUUAUUUGUAAUGCAAAGUGAUGCUAAAAUGGUAACAUUGUAACAUUAAUGUAACAUUAAGAGAUGUGCAUAAACUAAUGAUUUUUUUAAAACUGGUUUAGCAUACAUUUGUGUAAAUGAUGUAUAUAAAGACAGACAUGUCAAUAUGCUUCAACCCAUGAGCCCUUCCAAAGUAAAAUGUAUUAUGGGGUCAUUAUAUUAAUGUUUUUAUUUAAAUCAAAGAUAGUUUAGAUACUAAUAUAAUAAUUUGACUUACUGUUCUAAAAAAUUCUCCAAUACAUUUUGGGCAAGGUUUUUUUUGCUUUCAAUGAAGUACUGCUCCGCAGCCUUUUGUGUCUGAAUUUGUUGUUCCAUCAAUUUUCUUUUAAACCGGGUUGUUUCUGUUUGUACAAUGAAGAACGUGUAUUGUGCUAGCUGCACAUCAGACAAUGUUCUGUAGCAACAAAUUAUUUUAUAUUGAACAUUUGUGAAAAUGAAUUGUGAAAUUUAGGUUUAAAUGUAUGCACAAUUUUUUUUGGAUAUAGUAUUAAAAUGUAUUAUCAUACAACUUAAUAAGUUACAAAGGCUGAAGUUUCAUAAUCCUAGGCCGAAGCGUUCUUGAGUUAUCAUCUAGAAACCAUAUGGUGAGCAGACCGACCGACAGACAGAAAUGAGCAAAACAAUAUACCCCCUCUUCUUCGAAGGGGGGCAUAAAUAUUUAAUUUGUAUGGAACUUACAUCUUUCUUCUCUUACAAGGCUGUUCAGAUUUGGCCUCACACGGGCUGUUUGGCGCAUCUUCCUAUAAUGUUUAUAUAUGAAUGAUUAUGACUUUUUAUAUAACAUAAGUAAUCCAAUAUGUUAGUUUAGGUCAUAAAUAUGCGUAAACUUAUUUAUAAUUUUACAAGUAAGAAACCAAUGACUUUUAUGUCAUAUAUGCAAACAUGUACAUUCAAUGACAAAGAUAUUUUGAUGGAGCCUAUUUAUUACAAUCGUAACUGCAAUUAAGUAACUUAAACUUUAACGAACUUUAUGCCGCAUAAUUAAUUUGUUAUUAUGACACACAUUGUUAGACCUUUUAUAUUUUAUUUGCUUAGUAACAUUGACACUCCUACAAUAAUAAAUGUGCCAUAAGUA